rnacentral:rRNA from 1 species
AUUGAACGCUGGCGGUAGGCCUAACACAUGCAAGUCGAACGCGAAAGUCCUUCGGGAUGAGUAGAGUGGCGGACGGGUGAGUAACGCGUAGGAAUCUGUCCUGUAGUGGGGGAUAACGUUUCGAAAGGAACGCUAAUACCGCAUACGCCCUACGGGGGAAAGCGGGGGAUCUUCGGACCUCGCGCUAGAGGAGGAGCCUGCGUCGGAUUAGCUAGUUGGUGAGGUAAAGGCUCACCAAGGCGACGAUCCGUAGCUGGUCUGAGAGGAUGAUCAGCCACACCGGAACUGAGACACGGUCCGGACUCCUACGGGAGGCAGCAGUGGGGAAUAUUGCGCAAUGGGCGAAAGCCUGACGCAGCCAUACCGCGUGUGUAGAAGA